ACGAACGCUGGCGGCUGCUUAACACAUGCAAGUCGAACGGAGUGGCGAACGGGUGAGUAACGCGUGAGCAACCUGCCUAUGACAGUGGGAUAGCCUCGGGAAACCGGGAUUAAUACCGCAUAGUCAUAGAUGGGCUCGCGUCUGAUUAGCUAGCUGGUGAGAUAACAGCUCACCAAGGCGACGAUCAGUAGCCGGUCAGAGAGGAUGAGCGGCCACAUUGGAGCUGAGACACAGUCCAAAAUACUACGGGAGGCAGCAGUGGGGAAUACUGCACAAUGGGGGAAACCCUGAUGCAGCGACGCCGCGUGAACGAAGAAGGUAUGCGUAUCGUAAAGUUCUGUCCUAUGGGAAGCAGUACCAUAGAAGAAAGCUCCGGCUAAAUACGUGCCAGCCGCCGCGGUAAUAC
rnacentral:rRNA from 1 species